UGCAAUCGAUGAGAGGGAGAGAAAAAAAAAUGGAAGCUUCUGUUCUCCCUGCAAAACAGAGCACGCUGUUUUGUAUAAAAUGGAAAAGCCUCACAAAUAAAAUCUUUGGAUAAAAUAAUAAUUGAUGUGCCGACAAAAAAGACAAUACCCUCAAAUCAAAACCUAAACUGAGAUCAUACGACAGAAAAACGAAAAUUUCGCAAUGAUCGGAGGAUAAAUAAGAUCAGCAAAGGACCCCCAAAAAAAACUCCAACUCAGGCGAUGCCAAAACUAAAAGCAAAGGAAAAGUUGAUAAAAAAGAAAAUGGAAGUCAAAAGAAGAGGGCGGAGAAAGACCCUUUCAGCAGUUCCAUAACAUUUCUUUCUCCUUUCCCCACUCUUUCUAUUUAUUUCUCCAUAGAAACAAUUAUGUCUCAAUCGAAAAAGCCAGCAGAGAAAUGGACAAAAACCAAAAACGACCUCGUCAGUGGCAAGACGAGUGGUAGAAACUGUCAACCUUUUUGUUUUGGAAAAGAGAAACGGUUUGCGUGUAAGAAGGUUGGUGUUCUUGUUGGAGCAGAAAAUGGCUGCUGUGAACUAUUGAGGAGUGAAAAAUAAAGGGGAUUGGGGCUUUUUCGCAAAUCAAUUUGAGGUGAAGGAAGAGUAUUUGAGCCUUCCAAGGGGGAAAUGUAACGUAAAAACUUGCAUACAUCUGUC
rnacentral:lncRNA from 1 species